AUCCCAUGAUGAGGACACUUCAUCAAAACCUCCUUAAUCAUCUCCCAUACAUCAUAAAGAGACUCUCCAUCAAAUUGAGAAAAGUUAUUAAUUUCUUCUCUUAACUU